rnacentral:rRNA from 1 species
UACAGAGGUGGCAAGCGUUGUUCGGAAUUACUGGGCGUAAAGCGUGCGUAGUCGGCUUUUCAAGUCGGGUGUGAAAGCCCCGGGCUCAACCUGGGAAUUGCAUUCGAUACUGGAUCGCUAGAGUUCGGCAGAGGGAAGUGGAAUUUCUGGUGUAGCGGUGAAAUGCGUAGAUAUCAGAAGGAACAUCAGUGGCGAAAGCGACUUCCUGGACCAGAACUGACGAUCAGGCACGAAAGCGUGGGGAGCAAACAGG